AGCUUUGCACAGUGGCAGUGUCGUAGCCAAUGAGGUUUAUCCGAGAAGCGAUUACUUGCUAAUUAAAAACUUUUCCCAAUACCCUGCCGUGACAACUUGAAAAAUGCUUUCCAACGUUCUACAUAGUCAUAGCACAGAAAUGGGCACCCACUAAAAAAAAUUAUAAAAGUCAACUAAUAGA
rnacentral:snRNA from 1 species